rnacentral:rRNA from 1 species
GACGAACGCUGGCGGCGCGCCUAACACAUGCAAGUCGAACGAGCGAGAGAGAGCUUGCUUUCUUGAGCGAGUGGCGAACGGGUGAGUAACCCGUGAGGAACCUGCCUCAAGAGGGGGACAACAGUUGGAAACGACUGCUAAUACCGCAUAAGCCCACGGUGCCGCAUGGCACAGAGGGAAAAGGAGCAAUCCGCUUUGAGAUGGACGCGCGUCCGAUUAGCUAGUUGGUGAGGUAACGGCCCACCAAGGCGACGAUCGGUAGCCGGACUGAGAGGUUGAACGGCCACAUUUGGACUGGGACACGGCCCAGACUCCUACGGGAGGCAGCAGUGGGGAAUAUUGCACAAUGGGGGAAACCCUGAUGCAGCGACGCCGCGUGGAGGAAGAAGGUCUUCGGAUUGUAAACUCCUGUUGUUGGGGAAGAUAAUGACGGUACCCAACAAGGAAGUGACGGCUAACUACGUG